CAGACACACAAGACACGUUGCACAGCUUAUCAAGGAAGCCCUGCUUUAGUAAACUGCAGUAAAAGCACUUCCUGGAACCAAACAGUGGGUGUCAGGUGUGUACUUUAUGCUAUGUAUUACAACAUGGUUUCAUGCACAUGAUCUCAGCAGGCAUCUGGCUGAGGAGGAAGUGAAACGAGCAAGAAGAUAAAAGUGGCAAAUGAGACGAGAUGAGAAUGUUUGGCGUAAUGAUACUUCUGUGUGAGCUGCAUUGCACUCUGAAAGACACAAAGAGGACAGGAUGAGACAGAUGGAGGUGGUUUGAUGGUAUCAAACUUGGCCAUUCACAACUUCACAGGAAAGUAAUCCGACACUUACGUCUGCACUGAUAACCCUGCUUGUUAAGACCCCUGUGGUGGAGAAAAAACAGAGCAGAAGGUCGGUUGAGGGAAGAACGUUGCACUGAAUUCAUGACACUUGACAACAUGAACUUUGGCCUGUUUGAUGGCACCACG